CCUACGGGUGGCAGCAGUGAGGAAUAUUGGGCAAUGGGGGCAACCCUGACCCAGCCACGCCGCGUGAGUGAAGAAGGUCUUCGGAUUGUAAAGCUCUUUCGGCCGUGACGAAGAUGACGGUAGCGUAUAAAGAAGCACCGGCUAACUACGUGCCAGCAGCCGCGGUAAUACGAAGGGUGCGAGCGUUGUUCGGAAUUACUGGGCGUAACGGGAGUGUAGGCGGAUAUGUAAGAUAGCGGUGAAAUGCCGGGGCUCAACCCCGGGACUGCCAUUGUGACUGUGUAUCUAGAGUAAUGGAGAGGAAAGCGGAAUACCCAGUGUAGCGGUGAAAUGCGUAGAUAUUGGGAAGAACACCAGUGGCGAAGGCGGCUAUCUGGCCAUUUACUGACGCUGAGGCUCGAAAGCGUGGGGAUCAAACAGGAUUAGAUACCCGGGUAGUC
rnacentral:rRNA from 1 species